GCCUGAGCUGCUGACUGCUGCCGCCCCGGCCGAUGCCGGCCGUCCCAGGCGCCGCCGCUCUCCGGCGAGGCUCUGCCUCAACCUCAAAUGGAAGGAGAACUCGCAGGUGCUCUACAACCUCGUCAACUCCACCCACUGGAGUUGCUCUCGCUCACCAUCCAGUGGCUUCCGUCGGAGUCCCUGGCCGCCACCCGCUCCCACGAGAUCGUACUCGGUACCCACACCGACGACUCCCCCAACCACUUUAUGCUCGUGGUAGCCGUCCUUCCGCUUCCGGUACUGGAUGCAUAACGGCUGUUUGAGAUAUGAAACCAUCAAGAAAAUCUCAGCAAUGCUCAAGAUCGAAUUGCAGAUGCAACACAAAUCUUUAGACUGUUUACUGCAGAUAACAUGAAGUUUCGAGCAUUUUAUUAGUGAGAUCAUCUCACUCCACUGAACAUUUUAGAUCGACUUGCAGAAGCUGAAGCUUCAAUCUGUUUAAAUGAGUUUCAGACUUUUUAGAAGAGCUGAAACAUCUAUCAUUUGGUAACCUGCUUGAUGCACGUGUAUGCUGAAACAAGAACUGAAUCCUGCAUGCUAUUUAU